UGCCAACGGUGAAAUACGCAAUACACUUCCUACGAUUUUCGAACAUAUCGAUAUUUCUCACGAUCGAUUUCAAAACGCGAAGAAUGGCGGAAGGAAGCACACCUCGUCUGUAAAGAAAAAAGUGUUAUUCAGAAAAAUCAUCUAGAAAGAAGUGUCAUAUUUGUAGUUGU